GAACAGAUUAGGAUGGAAAAAGGGAACUAAAAUACACUUCUUCAGAAAGGUUAGCUUGGUAGCACCAUGCACACCACAACUCUUGUCUGGUGCUCACGCAGGCUCUCUUGGAUUGGGAUCUGGAGGUCAGCUGAAUGCCAAAUGCAAUUUAAGCUACGACGAACAGGUGCUUGUCGAUUGCUUGCUGGUGUCUAACUAAAAU